UACUCUGGAACAAAAAGGUGUUAGUUUGC
rnacentral:piRNA from 1 species